rnacentral:rRNA from 1 species
GACGAACGCUGGCGGCGUGCCUAAUACAUGCAAGUCGAGCGGAAGUUGAAGAGCUUGCUCUUCAACUUUAGCGGCGGACGGGUGAGUAACACGUGGGCAACCUGCCCUGCAGAUCGGGAUAACUCCGGGAAACCGGUGCUAAUACCGAAUAGAUUUCGCCACCUCCUGGUGGCGUACGGAAAGACGGUUUCGGCUGUCACUGCAGGAUGGGCCCGCGGCGCAUUAGCUAGUUGGUGGGGUAACGGCCCACCAAGGCGACGAUGCGUAGCCGACCUGAGAGGGCGAUCGGCCACACUGGGACUGAGACACGGCCCAGACUCCUACGGGAGGCAGCAGUAGGGAAUCUUCCACAAUGGACGAAAGUCUGACGGAGCAACGCCGCGUGAGUGACGAAGGUUUUCGGAUCGUAAAACUCUGUUGUGAGGGAAGAACAAGUACCAACUAACUACUGGUACCUUGACGGUACCUCACCAGAAAGCCACGGCUAACUACGUGCCAGCCGCCGCGGUAAGAC